UUAAGUUAUUAAGGGCGCACGGUGGAUGCCUUGGCACUAGAAGCCGAUGAAGGACGUUACUAACGACGAUAUGCUUUGGGGAGCUGUAAGUAAGCUUUGAUCCAGAGAUUUCCGAAUGGGGAAACCCAGCAUGAGUUAUGUCAUGUUAUCGAUAUGUGAAUACAUAGCAUAUCAGAAGGCACACCCGGAGAACUGAAACAUCUUAGUACCCGGAGGAAGAGAAAGAAAAUUCGAUUCCCUUAGUAGCGGCGAGCGAAACGGGAAGAGCCCAAACCAACAAGCUUGCUUGUUGGGGUUGUAGGACACUCUGUACGGAGUUACAAAGGACGACAUUAGACGAAUCAUCUGGAAAGAUGAAUCAAAGAAGGUAAUAAUCCUGUAGUCGAAAAUGUUGUCUCUCUUGAGUGGAUCCUGAGUACGACGGAGCACGUGAAAUUCCGUCGGAAUCUGGGAGGACCAUCUCCUAAGGCUAAAUACUCUCUAGUGACCGAUAGUGAACCAGUACCGUGAGGGAAAGGUGAAAAGCACCCCGGAAGGGGAGUGAAAUAGAACCUGAAACCGUGUGCUUACAAGUAGUCAGAGCCCGUUAAUGGGUGAUGGCGUGCCUUUUGUAGAAUGAACCGGCGAGUUACGAUUUGAUGCAAGGUUAAGCAGUAAAUGUGGAGCCGUAGCGAAAGCGAGUCUGAAUGGGGCGUUUAGUAUUUGGUCGUAGACCCGAAACCAGGUGAUCUACCCUUGGUCAGGUUGAAGUUCAGGUAACACUGAAUGGAGGACCGAACCGACUUACGUUGAAAAGUGAGCGGAUGAACUGAGGGUAGCGGAGAAAUUCCAAUCGAACCUGGAGAUAGCUGGUUCUCUCCGAAAUAGCUUUAGGGCUAGCCUCAAGUGAUGAUUAUUGGAGGUAGAGCACUGUUUGGACGAGGGGCCCCUCUCGGGUUACCGAAUUCAGACAAACUCCGAAUGCCAAUUAAUUUAACUUGGGAGUCAGAACAUGGGUGAUAAGGUCCGUGUUCGAAAGGGAAACAGCCCAGACCACCAGCUAAGGUCCCAAAAUAUAUGUUAAGUGGAAAAGGAUGUGGCGUUGCCCAGACAACUAGGAUGUUGGCUUAGAAGCAGCCAUCAUUUAAAGAGUGCGUAAUAGCUCACUAGUCGAGUGACACUGCGCCGAAAAUGUACCGGGGCUAAACAUAUUACCGAAGCUGUGGAUUGUCCUUUGGACAAUGGUAGGAGAGCGUUCUAAGGGCGUUGAAGCAUGAUCGUAAGGACAUGUGGAGCGCUUAGAAGUGAGAAUGCCGGUGUGAGUAGCGAAAGACGGGUGAGAAUCCCGUCCACCGAUUGACUAAGGUUUCCAGAGGAAGGCUCGUCCGCUCUGGGUUAGUCGGGUCCUAAGCUGAGGCCGACAGGCGUAGGCGAUGGAUAACAGGUUGAUAUUCCUGUACCACCUAUAAUCGUUUUAAUCGAUGGGGGGACGCAGUAGGAUAGGCGAAGCGUGCGAUUGGAUUGCACGUCUAAGCAGUAAGGCUGAGUAUUAGGCAAAUCCGGUACUCGUUAAGGCUGAGCUGUGAUGGGGAGAAGACAUUGUGUCUUCGAGUCGUUGAUUUCACACUGCCGAGAAAAGCCUCUAGAUAGAAAAUAGGUGCCCGUACCGCAAACCGACACAGGUAGUCAAGAUGAGAAUUCUAAGGUGAGCGAGCGAACUCUCGUUAAGGAACUCGGCAAAAUGACCCCGUAACUUCGGGAGAAGGGGUGCUCUUUAGGGUUAACGCCCAGAAGAGCCGCAGUGAAUAGGCCCAAGCGACUGUUUAUCAAAAACACAGGUCUCUGCUAAACCGUAAGGUGAUGUAUAGGGGCUGACGCCUGCCCGGUGCUGGAAGGUUAAGAGGAGUGGUUAGCUUCUGCGAAGCUACGAAUCGAAGCCCCAGUAAACGGCGGCCGUAACUAUAACGGUCCUAAGGUAGCGAAAUUCCUUGUCGGGUAAGUUCCGACCCGCACGAAAGGCGUAACGAUUUGGGCACUGUCUCAACGAGAGACUCGGUGAAAUCAUAGUACCUGUGAAGAUGCAGGUUACCCGCGACAGGACGGAAAGACCCCGUGGAGCUUUACUGUAGCCUGAUAUUGAAAUUCGGCACAGCUUGUACAGGAUAGGUAGGAGCCUUUGAAACGUGAGCGCUAGCUUACGUGGAGGCGCUGGUGGGAUACUACCCUAGCUGUGUUGGCUUUCUAACCCGCACCACUUAUCGUGGUGGGAGACAGUGUCAGGCGGGCAGUUUGACUGGGGCGGUCGCCUCCUAAAAGGUAACGGAGGCGCUCAAAGGUUCCCUCAGAAUGGUUGGAAAUCAUUCAUAGAGUGUAAAGGCAUAAGGGAGCUUGACUGCGAGACCUACAAGUCGAGCAGGGUCGAAAGACGGACUUAGUGAUCCGGUGGUUCCGCAUGGAAGGGCCAUCGCUCAACGGAUAAAAGCUACCCCGGGGAUAACAGGCUUAUCUCCCCCAAGAGUUCACAUCGACGGGGAGGUUUGGCACCUCGAUGUCGGCUCAUCGCAUCCUGGGGCUGUAGUCGGUCCCAAGGGUUGGGCUGUUCGCCCAUUAAAGCGGUACGCGAGCUGGGUUCAGAACGUCGUGAGACAGUUCGGUCCCUAUCCGUCGUGGGCGUAGGAAAUUUGAGAGGAGCUGUCCUUAGUACGAGAGGACCGGGAUGGACAUACCUCUGGUGUACCAGUUGUCGUGCCAACGGCAUAGCUGGGUAGCUAUGUGUGGACGGGAUAAGUGCUGAAAGCAUCUAAGCAUGAAGCCCCCCUCAAGAUGAGAUUUCCCAACUUCGGUUAUAAGAUCCCUCAAAGAUGAUGAGGUUAAUAGGUUCGAGGUGGAAGCAUGGUGACAUGUGGAGCUGACGAAUACUAAUCGAUCGAAGACUUAAUCAA
rnacentral:rRNA from 1 species